CCUUGCUAGUUCGCUGACGAGUGGCGGACGGGUGAGUAAUGUCUGGAAAACUGCCUGAUGGAGGGGGAUAACUACUGGAAACGGUAACUAAUACCGCAAACGUCGCAAGACCAAAGAUGGGGACCUUCGGGCCUCUGCCAUCGGAUGUGCCCAGAUGGGAUUAGCUUGUAGGUGGGGUAACGGCUCACCAAGGCGACUAUCCCUAGCUGGUCUGAGAGGAUGACCACCCACACUGGAACUGAGACACGGUCCAUACUCCUACGGGAGGCAGCAGUGGGGAAUAUUGCACAAUGGGCGCAAGCCUGAUGCAGCCAUGCCGCGUGUAUGAAGAACGCCUUCGGGUUGUAAAGUACUUUCAACGGGGAGGAAGGGAGUAAAGUUAAUAGCUUUGCUCAUUGACCUAACCAGAAAAACACGCACCACUUAAUGCCGUGCGACCAGGUGAUAUAUAAGUGGCGGUGCUUGUCCGGAUCUAUAAUUACGGGACGUAAGGCCCGGUCGCGCGGUUAGUCUAAUCAUAUGUCCCAUCGCUGGGCUUCGCCUUGGGAACUGCAUCUGAUACUGUCGAGUGCGGGACACGAAGAGGGGAGAUACAAUUGUAGGUGUGAAGUGUCAAAUACAUAUAGAUUAAGAGCAAUACCGGUGGCGAAGUGUCGGUCGG
rnacentral:rRNA from 1 species